AACUGGAUGGACCAUAGAGAAUGACCGUAAACUACUACAAGUCCAACCAAGAGCUGGUCUUGAUUCUAGCUGCCAUAUCAGCAGCAGGACAUGGCUGGAGCGCAUUCCUAAGAUUUCAGAGCUUUGCUAACGGAGCCACCCCCUGUCAUAAAGAGUCUGAAGUGAUCUGGGCCAUCUGAACCCAGUGAACCUCACACUCAUCCAUUGCCUCAGUGACGUCAUCAAGUUCAUGGUCCGGGAGAAACAAGAGGAAGCUUGUGGGCUAGAAGCCUUGGUAAAACACACGUGCUCCAGAGAGGAGAAGAUGAACUAUGAAGACGAGAGACCUGCCUCUUCAGCAAGGUUUCUAAGGAACGCAGUGGCCAGGUUCAUGCGGAGAUGCCCAACUCAAAGCCAAAGUAGACUACCUUGGCUCACCUGAGGAAGAAGUCUGGCUUCCCCAGAGAACUCUUACAAAGGGACCCAUACAGGAGGAGGCGCUGGCUGUUCCUACCCCAGCUUGUCCAAUAUCACCAGUUCAGCCACCAGGCAGGGAGACCCAAGGCUUGGAGAUGACCCAGGCACCGUCUGACUGCAACCUCAUCACAAAGAAACACCAUCUAGAACGACCCAACUGAUCCGUGCCGAGGUCCCUGGCCCACAGACACCGCGGGUGAUAACAAAUGAUAUUGUGUUUUAAAAACCUACAUUUUGGGAUGAUUUGUUGCACAGCAAUGGACACUUAAACAAAAACAUACAUGGUCCUUAGGACAAGUCUGGCAAGUUUCUUCAACGGUCUCUAUUUGGGGGGUGUUUUAGUAUUUUGUAAGUUUUAUAGUUUGAAACUAAUAUUUAGUAUUUUGAACUUAGGAAUUUAGUUAGUAUUCAGUCUUUGAUUAGUAUUUUUCUAUGUUUGCAUACCCUAGAGGGCAAACCCGCCUACAGACAGCCAUCUCUGUAUGUGGAGGUGUAGUUUUCCAAUGGCAACACCAGGCGGAGCCAGACUCUAAUUUAUCUCAGUACCUUUCAGAAGGUCACUUUGACAGAGAAGAUUUCAGAAUCAAAUUCUAGCAUACAUAAGGAUGAUGUGUUAGGAAAGCUCCAUCAAAUUCUCAAACACCAGAAAGGUUUCUAUGCAUCAGAAAGAAAUGUAUUCUGAUGGAUAAAUCUGCCCCAGGCUGGGUGUGCAGGUAAGAGACAAGAAAAUCCUUUCCACCCCCCCUCCAUUUUAAACACAGUAGAGCAGGUUAUAUUUUCUUUAAUCCUUGAAAAGGAGAAGGGAUCUGUAAACCUGUAAUUUCUAAACAAUGCUGUAACUAAUCCUUGCCCUGUCUAUCGACAUGGCAGAUGCAAUCUGUGUUGCAGCUGGCUUUUCACAGUGUGAGAACUCUGCAUAUUUAUAUUUAUAUUCACAUUUAUUUAUAUUAUAUAUUUAUAUAUUAUGAUAAUAUUGAUCCUAUCAGUAGAAUCCCAGAUAACACUCAUAAUCAUCUUGAUAGAAUCCAACAUAACAUUCAUCCCACCAUUUGAGCUUAAGAAUAUUUUAAGUUUCCAUUUUUUCUCAUUCUUUGUUUUGUGUACACAGGGAUUUAAUGGUCCAGUGACUGGGAAAAUGGUCCAUGAUUCCGAUUGCAGGAAAUCUGGGAACCAAAUUGCUUACAAUGAGUUAAUUGCAUGAACAAAACACAUGGCAAAUCUCCACUUUUCGAACAGAUUCAGUGCAGACUUUACCCAUAAUCCUGUGCAGUAACCUGAGGAGGCUGGCCAGCUGCACUUAGGAUGACAGGCAGCCAGCCUCCGUGCGACUCCCGAAGUCUGCAGCUUCUACCCCUGGAUGGCUGGAGGACAAGGGGGCUUGAAUACACCAGCAAUCUUGAGAAUCAAAGAGGCUUUGUGGUCAGCUUAUCUAAUUGGAAGGUCAGACUAUGAGAUCGAGACUCCACAGCCUGGUGAAGUGUAAAUCAAAGGGGACAGCUGGUGGGUGGCCUGAACUCUGAAGAGCUGAUUCUUUGAGGGCCUGCUACCACUUUGACUCAGUCCCUACCCUAGCGGACCUUCCCUCUUGCUGAUGAGCCACAGGGUAAAUGGAGGGAGAAGUGCAAACUCAAAGCCCACCAAUCCUACGCUAGAAGUAGAACAGAACAAAGCCACACACAAAAAGUUCUGUCGGGUCAGCAGACUCCGGCUCCGGCCCCACCUGCGUCUAUAAGUGAUGAGACUGAUUUCCACGUUUAACUUAUGGCAAGGUCCCCGUCACGGAUGCUCACGACAUGUAUACAUAACGUCUUUUUCUGUGACACACAAGUAGUAGCAAAGGCUAUCCUCUGCGGCUUGACCACAAACUGCAGACUGUGAGUGCCUCAGAACAUCUCUGAUCCUCCCCAGCUAGUUCUGGAAAUUCCCAGGGAGUAACAGCUCCCAGAAACAGACUUGAGGACCUGAAGUGGCAACAGUGACCAGCCCUUACAUUUUCCAAGGGCUCUUUGUCUGGGUCCCCUAGGUCACUGAUAAAGGCAGCCAGAUUUCCAGGGCACUGUUAGGAUGUGCCUUAGCACUCCCCAUGCGUGGCUGCUCCCCCAACCCAGGCUCUCAGCAAGCUGUCAGGACAGGUGGCUGGACUUGGCUGAGGUGGGGGAAGCAGGCUGGGCCUCACCAGUUCUUAUAGGCUGUCUUCUCUGGGCAAGUUCUUUACAAGUUCUUUCUCAAGUCUUUGAGGGUCUAGUCAGGCAUUCCGUGGUGUGAGUGGCCAUCUUACCUCUCACAUUGUCCAAAAGUGACAAAGACCAUGUUCUGUGGCUUCAGUCUGUGCACCCUUACCUGUGGGUGACUCCCUUCACCUAGCCCACUCAUUCCUCAGGCAAUGGUACUUCACAGUGAGCCCACCCUGUUGGCCUCUCCCAUCCCCUAGUCAUGCUCAACACAAAUGACUUCAUCAUGGACACGCAGGAGCUUGGUUUCACAGGUGAAAGACUUUGAAUAAUUACUUUUUAUAAUAAUUUUAUCUGGAAUGGAUUAGUACUUUUUCAAAUUGAUGUGUUUCCAAGGAAGGAAGUCCCUGGAUAGAGUUUUCCAGGAAGAAAACCCUUGUGGGGUAGAGACAGGUAGCUGAGGUUGAAGAUGAUAAAACACAGGCACUGCUCAGGCCUCUGAACCCUUCUAGAACAAUGUGUCAUAUUGCACAACCUCUUCCCUCUAUCCACCACUAUUAGUGUCCCCAGAGGCAAGCCAACCCCAUCUCAUUCUGCACAUCUAGACUUCUGUUUAGUUCCCUGAGCUAUGCCCUUCUCCAAUAACUUUGCAAAAUGCAGACUUGAAAAAUGAUUCCAUCAUGCAUAUAAUUUCUCUAAACACAGCAGAGGGUACUAAUGAGCAGGAUCAGACAUUGACCACCUGAAAGUGGACAGUUUGCCCAGGAACCUUGCAAUCUUCUUUACCUUGUCUACCCCACUCCUUCUUUACAUUUCUUUCCGCUUCACUUUGAGCCCCCAACUGAACUUAGCUUCACUGUGCCCUCUGAUGAAGAGGGACCUGUCUAGUGGACCUUCAUUAAACCUGCCCAGUAACCUUCUCACACUCUAAUGACAUGGGUAGACUGGCUCUGGUAGGUGAGUAGAUAUUUGCUUGGAAGUUGGCAAAGGAGGAGGAAAAAGGAAAUGCAGUGGCAUUUUCUAGAAGAUUCUGUCCUUUGUGGUUGUAAUUUUGAGGAGAAACUAGAAAAGCUAUUCCUAGACCACAUGUGAAUGCUGACCAAAUACUAAAGUAUCAAACACUAAGAACUCAAGUGACCUCCCGUUUUGGUGUGCUCUCCCUAAAGGGACCAUUUCUACUUUGUAGAACAAUGUGCCCAUAAAUAAAGAUAGAGCAGAGCAAAGGUCUCUACUCACUCCAGGCCCCUGAUCCCCUGCCUCCCGGUAAUGCAUCUUAAUUAUCACCAUCUGGAGAGAAGUCUCCUUUCUUGUUUGCCUAAUCAGGAGAUCCGGCCGCUGGAAUUCCAGAUUGGAAUCCUGCAGUGUGGAAGGCAGAGGUAUUUGGAAAUAGGGUGGUAGUAGUGUCUCUUGAACUAUUCUAAAGGGGUCAUUCUCACUCUUUCUAUGCUUUGUACAUCACUAUUCCUAGUUUUACUAGAAAUAUUUAUGAGAACCGAAUCCCAUACCUAAAUGAUCCCUCACAACACUGCCUUCCCCUCCCCAAACCCGGGGGCCUAUUGAUCCCUACACCAUCAGACUUGGUUAGUCUCCAAAGCAACCUUGGAUUGCUUAAGCAAAUUUAAACCCCAAACCUUCAAACCUGCAACUCAGGAUUUGAUGAGUGAGCAGUGACCCCAAUUCCUGGCUGCUGUUUUACACCCCGAAAUGCUGUUAUUACCAUGUGACUGGGAUACGUCACAUGGUAUCCACGGAGCUAUCCACAGAGGUCUUACACCCACAACAAUAGCUGCCGUCUACUGAAUCUAUUAAACGGCAAUCCUUCAACCCUUACAAGAAGCACUUUUACCAUCUCUGUAAGACCCGAAAUUUAACUUCAUAACUUCCUGAAGUGAAUGUCAGUCUGGAAGAAAGAUAAGCAUUCUGGAAUUACACUGUGUAGACUAUGAUUCUGCCUCAGGGAUUAUGCUUGGAGCCGCAGUGUGGGCUUCAGCCUCAAUACCUGUUUUGAACUUCUAUCUCAGCAUCUAUAUGGUUCCAUCCUCUUCUGUUUUUGGAAACCAAAUGCACCCAGGUGCCAGGUGCAGCUUGCCUGGCCUUCCACACGUCAUUUGCUGCAAGGUCCUAUCGCAGUGCUUCCCUUCUCUGGGGAUACCUGACUGCUGAAGGUAGUCUCCCGACAACAUCUCUGAGCCUUUACUCUUGGAAGCUUCCUUUGGAUAAAGAAGAGAGGAGUCUCAUAAUAUUUCUUGUUUUCUUCCUGAAACCUGAGCUGUCAGUCCCGCCUCUGACUGUGCUCCCCGCCCUGGGCAAGUCAAGGACUAGUUCCUGACCCCAUUCUCCCUCAUCUUUCUCAAAACUCAGGGCCAAACCUUAUGACUCCAAAGGUCAACUCCAGGCAUUUGUCAUUCUGGAAGCUAUUUAUCAUUAAACUAUCACAGUUUGGGUAGAAAUUAAACUAUAAUAUAUAAAGAGGGAGGCUGAAAGUCCGUUCUUGCUAUUUAAUGUGCAACGUACAGAGAUGGCGAAUGACAGCAGGGAGGCCAGGGCCACAUAGCAUUUUUGUUUAAGGACACAAUUUUGGCUACUAACCAUAUCCUAAAGGAGUGCUGUGAGCCGUGCCGUGCUCCUCAUGGUUCUUUGUGAAAAUCAUAAGUAGACCACGGGCAUAGAAGGCCUGUAUGUCAAUGGCUCUGCUAUUCAUGUUAGUGUGGUGUAGGUGGGAAACUUCCCUCCGCCACACUGGGGGGCUGCCACAUGUGCCCUUGUUGACUUUCCAUAACACCCACACGUACAUACAUGUACAUACCAUUCACAUAUACCAUUCACACCCAGCAAACGCAUGCGCACACGCAUAUAUGUAUGACACACACCAAGCACACCACAGACACAUCACAUAUAUACACACAUACUGCUCACAUGUGCACACACAUCAUAUACACCCAACCCCACCCACAUCACACACACACAUACACCAUAUGCAUACCACAC